rnacentral:rRNA from 1 species
AGAGUUUGAUCCUGGCUCAGAGCGAACGCUGGCGGCGUGCUUAACACAUGCAAGUCGAACGCGCAGCAUUCUGUAGCAAUACAGGGUGUGGGCGCGUGGCGAACGGGUGCGUAACACGUGGAUAACCUUCCUUCAGGUGGGGAAUAACCCAGUGAAAAUUGGGCUAAUACCGCAUAACAUGACGAUGGCACAUGCUGUUGUCUUCAAAGGCGCAAGUCGCCAGAAGAGGGAUCCGCGGCCGAUUAGCUUGUUGGCGAGGUAAUGGCUCACCAAGGCAUUGAUCGGUAGCCGGACUGAGAGGUUGACCGGCCACACUGGAACUGAGACACGGUCCAGACUCCUACGGGAGGCAGCAGUGGGGAAUCUUGCACAAUGGACGAAAGUCUGAUGCAGCAACGCCGCGUGGGGGAUGAAGCUUCUCGGAGUGUAAACCCCUUU